UGGGGAAUUUUCCGCAAUGGGCGAAAGCCUGACGGAGCAAUACCGCGUGAGGGAGGACGGCUUUUGGGUUGUAAACCUCUUUUAUCAGGGAAGAAUCGAUGACGGUACCUGAUGAAUCAGCAUCGGCUAACUCCGUGCCAGCAGCCGCGGUAAUACGGAGGAUGCAAGCGUUAUCCGGAAUUAUUGGGCGUAAAGCGUCCGUAGGUGGUUUAUCAAGUCUGCUGUCAAAGCGUGCGGCUUAACCGCAUAAGGGCAGUGGAAACUGAUGAACUAGAGUGCGAUAGGGGUAACAGGAAUUCCCAGUGUAGCGGUGAAAUGCGUAGAUAUUGGGAAGAACACCAGCGGCGAAAGCGUGUUACUGGGUCUGCACUGACACUGAGGGACGAAAGC
rnacentral:rRNA from 1 species